GACGAACGCUGGCGGCGUGCCUAAUACAUGCAAGUCGACCUUAGUGGCGGCCGGGUGAGUAAUGCCUAGGAAUCUGCCUGGUAGCGGGGGCUAACGUCCGGAAACCGGCGCUAAUACCGCAUACUAUCAGAUGAGCCUAGGUCGGAUUAGCUAGUUGGUGGGGUAAAGGCAUACCAAGGCGGCGAUCCGGAACUGGUCGGAGAGGAUGAGCAGGCACACUGGGACUUAGACACGGGCCAGAAUCCUGAGGGAGGCAGCAGUGGGGAAGAUUGGGCAAUGGGCGAAAGGCUGAUCCAGCCAUGCCGCGGGUGGGAAGAAGGUCUUCGGAUUGUAAAGCACUUUAAGUUGGGAAGCGGUACCAACAGAAUAAGCACCGGCUAACUUCGUGGCAGCCGCCGCGGUAAUAC
rnacentral:rRNA from 1 species